rnacentral:lncRNA from 1 species
AAGCUAAUGAUCCGCCAAAGAAUCAAAAAAACCGAUUGAAGAAUUUCAAGAAGACAAAAAAGGAUCAAUGAUGUGAGCGUCAUGUGCACGAGACAUGACUAUGAGCCCAAUUUCAAUGCUCCUUGGUACUUUAAAACCUUGCUCCACCGUCAACUCUCUUCUGCAAUGUCUCUCCCACGGUGUCUCUAUUCCAACAAGCCACAUCAUCCCCGCCACAUUGUCCCUGGCUAGCACCAUGUUGCCGACCCCAAAGGCCGCACCCUCAUGAUCGCACCAAUUGAGAUGUAGAAGCUCAUGCCGAUGGUAGCCAAGUUAAAGCCCAUCCUCAUCCCCAAGGCCGAGCUUAAUCGCCACCAUUGGGAAGCUGUCACCAUCACCGUUGUUGCCUCAACGUACCUCUCCAUUGAGAGAUCCUAUGCCACUAUCCCUCUUUGCUUGGAGAUCCUGCACCGCCAUCCCUCUCCGCUGAGAGAUCUUAUGUCAUCGUCCCUCUCCACUGAGAGAUUCGUGCUGCCAUAUGCUUCUCUCUACCAAGUGUCCCAUCAUGAUGAUAACAGCUGAGCGUGCAAAACUAAUCAAGAGGAUUCCUCCGCAACCUAUUUCUCUUCCAUGAUCGUUCUCAAGGAUCGUCUUCUCCUUGAGCACCGCUUCUUGCCAUCCAAGUCACCAAAUUGGCUGAUAGCGACAUCUUCAU